AUGGUUGUUUGUCGGAGAAAAAAGUGUGUAAAAAGUAAAAGCAAAAGCAAGUCUGGAGAUAUACUUUCUAUAUGGAAUUUCGAUGGAAAGAUCGCAUUCGAAGACAUACUCGGUGCAACAGAAAAUUUUGAUGAGAAAUAUUGCAUUGGCAUUGGGGGCUAUGGAACUGUCUUUAGAGUUGAGCUUCAAGGCGCGGUUACCUUUGCCGUCAAGCUCCUGCAUUCAAUGGAAGAAUUCAAAGACGAGGAAACAUUUCACGCUGAGAUUGAAGUGUUGACUAAAAUUAGGCACCGAUGCAUCGUCAGGCUAUAUGGAUUCUGUUCACACUUCCAAUGCAAAUUCCUCGUGUACGACCUUAUCGAGAGGGGAAACUUAUCAUCCAUUUUGCACAAGCAAGAGCUAGCAAAGGAGCUGGACUGGUCAAAUAGAAUUGCUAUUGUAGCGGACGUAGCUCAAGCUCUCUCCUAUUUGCAUCAUGAUUGUGAUGAUCCUAUUGUACACGGGGACAUAAAAAGUAGCAACAUUCUUCUGAACCGAUAUUAUAAAGCUUAUGUCUUGGACUUUGGCAUGGCGAGGAAGCUGAAGCAUGGUUGCUCAAGCUGGAGCACUAUCUUCGCAGGGACAUGUGGCUAUAUAGCCCCAGAAUUGUCAUCCACCAUGGUGUUGACCGAGAAGUGCGACGUGUACAGCGUUAGUGUGGUUGUGUUGGAAGUUGUGAUGGAAAGCACCCAUGUGAUCUGCUCCUUCCGUUCUUCUGCCGAACAGAGCAGCUGA
rnacentral:rRNA from 1 species